CUCACCGAUGGUGCAACUAUGCUUAGUUUGAGACUUACAAGGGCUUUGCCAGGUGGACAAAGAAUGUAUCCAUUCCAAGAAACUGCAGGCAUGAGCUUGAAAGCCUAGCACAUUUCCUGAACCAAAAGAACUUCAGCUUGGUCAGAGGUGGUAGGGACAGGAAAGUGGUAGAAUUCAGUAGGAGCCAAAUCUCGGAGAGUUUGUCCUUCACGUGCUAGAUCCUAUAGGUUGAGGUUUCCUAAAGUGUAUUCCACAGAGCAGUUUCCCUGAUAUGUGAGGUCCAUUGGGGCAUGAAAAUCCCAUGCUCAGAUAAGUUUGGAGGAAACUGGGUUCAAUAAAAAGCCAGUUUCUUUACUGCAGGACUGCUCAGAGCCUUUAAUACACAAAACCUAGUUGGAUCUUCAAAGGGAAUGAUGACUCAGAUUUCAGGCCUGAGCAAUUAUUAUAUCGAAGAUUAUGCCUUUACCCAGGAGGGAUUUAGCCAAGAAUGGUUUGCAGGCUCUUCUUCACACCUCUAGCACUGUCACAGGUUACUCUCUGAUCCCUCUUAAACACCAGGCCCACCUACCCCAUCAUUCGCCCAGGCCCCUCCACCCAUCCUCAUCUCCCUUGGCUUGGGGUAGAACAGGGCUUGAACCUUAACACCACUUUCAAAGCCUACCGAUCCCUUGAGAAGUUGGCUGUGAUUGGGAGGAACCAAGGCCCUGGAGACCACAAGGGCUUUCCUCCAACCUCAGCCUCUUCACUCCUCCCAAGUGCCUUCUUCAAAGGCUGGCUAGAAGCCAUUAGCAGGAAAUAGCAGCACCACUUAGAAUUUGAAGGGAAUAGAGGCCCUUGCCUGGGGAAUAAAGAUUUGAGUAUAAAACAUCCCCAGAGGGUGCAAAUUGUAUUCUCACUUUGGGAGAGAUAGAUUGCUCCCGAAUGAAUAAUGGCAUCUCUGGUUUUCAGUUAAUUUCCCUUUAUGACUUCCACAGUCUCUAGCACUUAGUACCAUUGGCACUUAAAGAGCCAAGUCUUUUUUUGCUGGGUGGUUGAGUUUUGUGGGCUGAGUUCUGAGAGAGGUGGAUUUGGACAGGUCAGGAAUCUUACCAGAGUUGCUUCUUCACAGCAAAACUACAGAGUUACCGGUUUCUCAUGGGUAGACCUAGAGUCUGCUGCUUGUUAAUAUCUGAAAAGUGCAUGAAUGGGAAACCGAUGUGAGAGAGACAUCUGAACAAUUUGGGGCUGCAGGCACUUGAGCCUUAGGGAAAGGCCAUCAAGCCAUUUGAGUUAAGACGGAAUUGCCCCUUCUAGGAGACUUCAGGGCUGGAUAACUGUGUCUCAGAACAAAAGGAGGGGCCAGACUUAAAGCCCCUAUUCCUGUGGGAUCAAAUAAAGCCAAGACAGCUCUGAGCCUGCCCUCUGCCCUCUGGUCAAUUGUCUCUGUACUCUAGACCCAUAAUGAUCCUUCAAAAAAGCCCUGAUAGGCACCACCCCCUCUGCAUCAAGCCCUGAGCCAUCCCCAACUCUUCUUUCUUUUAGGCUUCAACUUUUCAUCACUUGGUUCUGAUACCCACCUAGACCCUUAGAUUGUUCUUUAACUUAUAUCCUCCAAAUCAGUAGUUCUCAACUCAGCAAUUUUGCCUCCCAAGGGACAUUUGGCAAUGUCUGGAGACGUGUGUGUGUGUGUGUGUGUGUGUCUGUUUUUGUUUUUUAAUUUUAGAUAGAGCUAGCUGGGGAAAGGGGCAUAGGGAGAGUGAGAGAGACAGGUUUCAUGCUCAGCCCAGGUCCCAACACAGGGCUCGAUCCCAUGACCCUGAGAUCAUGACCUGAGCCAAAGUCAAGAGACAGGCUCAACCCACUGAGCCAUCCAGGCGCUCUUGUCUGGAGACUUUUGAUUGUCGCAACUGGAGGGAUGCCAUGCACAUCCAGUGGGUAGAGGCCAGAAAUGUUCAAAGAAUUAGUUGCUCCAAAAUAUCAGUGAUGCUCUUGAGAAACCCUACUCUAGAGCAGUGAUGUUCCAAGUGUGCUCUUGGGGACAGCAGCAGCAGCAGCACCUGAAAACAUGCUAGAGACCCACCUGAGACCUACUGAAUCGGAAACCUAGGGAGAAGGAAGUCUUCAGCAAUCUGUUUUCACAAGCCCUGCAAGUGAUUCUGAUGCAAGCUUGGAGAGCCACUGCUCCACAGGCUCAGAGAGUUCUAAUCUUUCCUAGGAGAGCCACAGAGCCUUCUGUUCACUCAUUCAUAGUUACCCCUAACUACGUAGCUGUUCUUUCUGGCUCAGUUUCGUACAUGCAUUAUCUCACUUGAUUGUCACGUACUAAGCAACAGGUUCAUAGAGAAGUAACACGCAAGCUUAACCAGUAAGUGGCAAAGCCAGGAUGUAAACCUAGCUGGAGCUCUUAACCCCAUCACCACAAUGCAGCCUUAGUGGCUUUUAACCUUGAAUGCACAUUAGAAUCAGCUGGGGAGCCUUUAAAAAUCCAGAGGCUUAGAUCACACUACCCCAGGCCAAUUAAAUCAGAAUCUCCGGGGUGAACAGGAGUAUUCUUUUAAAGCUUCGUUCGGUGAUUGCAAUAUGAAAUCAAGGUUAAGGACAUGGCUGCAGCUAUAGCCAGGAGGGCAGCACAAAGCCAAAUUGACUUCCCCUGCCACCCCUUGGCUCUCCAGGAAACUGCUCUGGCUCAUGGUCUGCGUGAGCUUGCGCCCACUUCUCCCAAGCCUAUGGUUGAGCUAAAACUUUGGACCUUGGCCAGAGAAUAGAGAUUGAUCUACUGUGAUCAUCUCUGCCUGAUGACUCCGGGGCUUUAUUUUGAAAAAAAAGACCUGUGGCUUUCCUUUGGAGUUCCAGGUAUAGCUUCAGAAGGUGCUAGAGCUAGAAAGAGCCUCCCAGCUACUCAGGUCAGUCAUCUAGUCCAACCUCAUUUUACAGAAGGGGAAACUGAGGGGAGAUACAGCUUACGUGCCUAUUAUUAAGUUAGGGGUUCUGCUCACUCGGGAAGCAUUUAUUUAACAUCCCUCUGUGAUGAGUCCUGUGCUGGCCUCUGAGAAUACAGAAAUGACUGAGUCAUAUAUUCUUUGGGAGUUCCCAGGGCAGAGGGUGAGGACAAAAACAAAAGUCAGGGCCUCUCAAACUUUUCCCCUUAAGUGUCCUUAAUGGCAUGGGGCGCCUGAUACAUGAUACAUGAUACAUGGCAUCUGGUAAGUGUCCGACUUCAGCUUAGGGCAUGAUCUCAUGGUUUGUGGGUUCAAGCCCUGCAGUUGUUAGCUCAGAGCCUGGAGCCUGCUUCAGAUUCUGUGUAUCCCUCUGUCUCUGCCCCUCCCUUACUUGUGCUGUCUCUCUCUCUCUCUCUCUCAAAAA